rnacentral:rRNA from 1 species
AGCGAACGCUGGCGGCAGGCCUAACACAUGCAAGUCGAACGAACUCUUCGGAGUUAGUGGCGGACGGGUGAGUAACACGUGGGAACGUGCCUUUAGGUUCGGAAUAACUCAGGGAAACUUGUGCUAAUACCGAAUGUGCCCUUCGGGGGAAAGAUUUAUCGCCUUUAGAGCGGCCCGCGUCUGAUUAGCUAGUUGGUGAGGUAAUGGCGCACCAAGGCUACGAUCAGUAGCUGGUCUGCGAGGAUUACCAGCCACAUUGGGACUGAGACACGGCCCAAACUCCGACGGGAGGCAGCAGUGGGGAAUCUUGCGCAAUGGGCGAAAGCCUGACGCAGCCAUGCCGCGUGGAUGAUGAAGGUCUUAGGAUUGUAAAAUCCUUUCACCGGUGAAGAUAAUGACUGUAGCCGGAGAAGAAGCCCCGGCUAACUUCGUGCCAGCCGCCGCCGUAAGAC